rnacentral:rRNA from 1 species
UACGGAGGGUGCGAGCGUUGUCCGGAACCACUGGGCGUAAAGGGCGCGUAGGCGGCCUGAUAAGUAGGGGGGUGAAAUCCUGCGGCUUAACCGCAGGGCUGCCUUCUAAACUGUCAGGCUGGAGCACAGUAGAGGCAGGUGGAAUUCCCGGUGUAGCGGUGGAAUGCGUAGAGAUCGGGAAGAACAUCAGUGGCGAAGGCGGCCUGCUGGGCUGUUGCUGACGCUGAGGCGCGACAGCGUGGGGGAGCAAACAGG